rnacentral:rRNA from 1 species
GUGCCAGCAGCCGCGGUAAUACAGAGGGGGCCAGCGUUAUUCGGAAUUAUUGGGCGUAAAGGGCGCGUAGGCGGCCAUGCGUGUCUUCCGUGAAAUCCCUCGGCUUAACCGAGGACGUGCGGAAGAAACUGCAAGGCUCGAGUCCGGAAGAGGGGGGCGGAAUUCCCAGUGUAGCGGUGAAAUGCGUAGAUAUUGGGAGGAACACCAGUGGCGAAGGCGGUCCCCUGGGCCGGAACUGACGCUGAGGCGCGAAAGCGUGGGUAGCAAACGGGAUUAGAUACCCCAGUAGUCC